GUAGGGAAUAUUGCACAAUGGAGGAAACUCUGAUGCAGCGACGCCGCGUGAGUGAUGAAGGCCUUCGGGUCGUAAAGCUCUGUCGCAGGGGAAUAACACAAUGAAGGUACCCUGUAAGAAAGGAUCGGCUAACUUCGUGCCAGCAGCCGCGGUAAGACGAGGGAUCCUAGCGUUGUUCGGAAUCAUUGGGCGUAAAGCGGAUGUAGGUGGCUAUGUAAGUCAGAUGUGAAAGCCUGGGGCCCAACCCCAGAAGUGCAUUUGAUACUGCGUAGCUUGAGUGUCGGAGAGGUUACUAGAAUUGUUGGUGUAGUGGUGAAAUACGUAGAUAUCAACAGGAAUACCGGAGGCGAAGGCGGGUAACUGGCCGAACACUGACACUGAGAUCCGAAAGCGUGGGGAUCAAACAGGAUUAGAAACCCGUGUAGUCC
rnacentral:rRNA from 1 species